rnacentral:lncRNA from 1 species
AUUAUGUUUUACUAUGCUCCAAGAACAAGGGUAUGGAUGGUCCUAAUCUAGGCUAGGUGAGGAUAGUGUGGGUAACAAAGAACAUAGGCUACACAAGGCUCAACAGGGUUAAACUUAAACACAUAAAGAACGGGAUAGGCUUUUUGGCUCUUGGCUCACUAAACAACUUCAUCUUGAAUAUGUGUUAUGCAAAUCAAUAACAUGCUUUGAAUGAAAUAGGCAUGAGUUCUAGCAUUUGGAACUAAAUGAUGAAACGACUUCUAAGUAGCAACCAAGCAAAGAAUAAUGAGAUCAUGCAACGACUUUAGAAAACAAUGAUGCACAUAUUAUUAACUCUCCAAAUAAACGUUUAGGCUCAAGUCUCAUAAGGUUGUAGCGUUCAUUUGAGUUCCUUCUUUCAAGCAUGUUACAAAAACUGAUUUUUCCUUUUAUGAUUGCAUGUGAAUUCAUAAAUUACAACCACAACCAAGCAUACACCAAAGAGUAAAUCAAAUUUUCAUCCAUGUUUAUAACUCUCUUUAACAGUCAUGUAAUUAAAAACCAAAUCCUCAUCAUUGUGUUGGAAGGUACCCUAAGACACAAGUAAACAUACAAAAACAACUCUUUUUGGGUUUUUCAAAUCAAUUUU